AUUGCCUCAGUAACGGCGAGUGAAGCGGCAACAGCUCAAAUUUGAAAUCUGGCCCCCAGGGUCCGAGUUGUAAUUUGUAGAGGAUGCUUUUGGUGAGGUGCCUUCCGAGUUCCCUGGAACGGGACGCCAUAGAGGGUGAGAGCCCCGUCUGGUUGGACACCGAGCCUCUGUAAAGCUCCUUCGACGAGUCGAGUAGUUUGGGAAUGCUGCUCUAAAUGGGAGGUAUAUGUCUUCUAAAGCUAAAUAUUGGCCAGAGACCGAUAGCGCACAAGUAGAGUGAUCGAAAGAUGAAAAGCACUUUGAAAAGAGGGUUAAAAAGUACGUGAAAUUGUUGAAAGGGAAGCGCUCAUGACCAGACUUGGGCUUGGCGAAUCAUCCAGCGUUCUCGCUGGUGCACUUCGCCUCGUUCAGGCCAGCAUCAGUUUGUCCCGGGGGAUAAAAGCUUCGGGAACGUGGCUGCUUCGGCAGUGUUAUAGCCCGCUGCAUAAUACCCUGGGGUGGACUGAGGUUCGCGCUCCGCAAGGAUGCUGGCGUAAUGGUCAUCAGCGACCCGUCUUGAAACACGGACCAAGGAGUCGUCUUCGUAUGCGAGUGUUCGGGUGUCAAACCCCUACGCGUAAUGAAAGUGAACGCAGGUGAGAGCUUCGGCGCAUCAUCGACCGAUCCUGAUGUUCUCGGAUGGAUUUGAGUAAGAGCAUACGGGGCCGGACCCGAAAGAAGGUGAACUAUGCCUGUAUAGGGUGAAGCCAGAGGAAACUCUGGUGGAGGCUCGCAGCGGUUCUGACGUGCAAAUCGAUCGUCAAAUAUGGGCAUGGGGGCGAAAGACUAAUCGAA
rnacentral:rRNA from 1 species